GCACUGCUGACGAGUCCCAAACGGUACGAAACAGCUGUCCAGUGU
rnacentral:hammerhead_ribozyme from 1 species